rnacentral:tRNA from 1 species
CCGAACAUAGCUCAGUUGGUAGAGCGUUCGACUGUAGAAACAGCAGGUAUCGAAUGGUCCCUGGUUCAAUUCCGGGUGUUCGGA